UACGUAGGGACCAAGCGUUGUUCGGAUUUACUGGGCGUAAAGGGCGCGUAGGCGGCAAUUCAAGUCAGUUGUGAAAUCUCCGAGCUUAACUCGGAACGGUCAACUGAUACUGUUUUGCUAGAGUACAGAAGGGGCAAUCGGAAUUCUUGGUGUAGCGGUGAAAUGCGUAGAUAUCAAGAGGAACACCUGAGGUGAAGACGGGUUGCUGGGCUGAUACUGACGCUGAGGCGCGAAAGCUAGGGGAGCGAACGGG
rnacentral:rRNA from 1 species